rnacentral:lncRNA from 1 species
NNNNNNNNNNNNNNNNNNNNNNNNNNNNNNNNNNNNNNNNNNNNCACGUGUAGCAUUUCAGAAGCUGAAAUUUCAGAACCCAGAACAUCACCGGCCAAGCCAACACUUUGCNUCUCCCACCAGUGAAUCCUAUGGUGCUUCUUCACCCAAAGGUGGGCCUCCUGGCACCCAGUGUCCCAGGAUCCCACCUGCUGAGUGUUGCUUAGCCAGACACAGCUGGGAUUCUGGCAAUGGCCCAAGCACAGGGUCUCGGGCACGGGGUCUCAGUUGGGGAUGGAGCUAACUCUAUGAUUCUAUGAUAACCCUAUGAUAACCCUAAUGCCAUUCAGACGUGGCAAGACAAGAACAGUGCAGGGAUUGGCAGGGAUCCAGGGUCGGGGCAAGGGCAGGACAGAUCAGUGCAUCCCUCCUGAUAAGGCUCAUUUCGAUCACUGGGGCCAACCACAAAAGUCCCAAGCAAGAGCCUUCUGUGGCACUGCUAGCCCAGAGGAGGAGCCCUGGGGCAGCGGAACCUCCCACAGCACUGGGCGCAGCAGACCAAGGCCCACGCGGUCUUCCGCCAGUGCCCAGGAGGCCAGGCAACAAUCUCGGUGGCCCGUUCGCGGCAGGGCUCCAGCAAGCUCCAGGGCAAGACAGGGUCCCUUCCCGUCACCAAAGGAGCCCUAAGGCUCCUUCCCAGCCCCCCCCCCCGGAGCUCGGAUGCCUCUCCUGCAAACUCACGGUAGCUAGCAGGGAAGGCAAUCCAGGGGGCGGGUCCCUCCUUUUCUCCACCUGUCCUGUCCUGGCAAUGAUGCCCUCGCUGGACAACUGCAACCUGCUCCACCUGGGACUGCCCACUGCGAUGGCCAAUGGCAGGAAUGCCGUGAGCUCCCAGGUCUCAGAGUGCCCACAGGGCUGGCAGCCCCUCCCUGCCCUGCACAACACACACACACCUGGAAAUCAGGAGGCUUCCUGGCCAGGAACAGCUCACCACACAGCAGUUCCUUUUGGCACGCAAAGGCGUAGUAGCCUGAGAAGAGCUGCCCGCAGCUGCGUUUUCUGCAACCGCUGUCACU